AUUGAACGCUGGCGGCAUGCCUUACACAUGCAAGUCGAACGGUAACAGGUCUUCGGAUGCUGACGAGUGGCGAACGGGUGAGUAAUACAUCGGAACGUGCCUAGUAGUGGGGGAUAACUACUCGAAAGAGUGGCUAAUACCGCAUGAGAUCUAUGGAUGAAUGAAGGGGAUCGCAAGCCCUUGUGCUACUAGAGCGGUCGAUGGCAGAUUAGGUAGGUGGUGGGAUAAAAGCUGACCAAGCCGACGAUCUGUAGCUGGUCUGAGAGGACGAUCAGCCACACUGGGACUGAGACACGGCCCAGACUCCUACGGGAGGCAGCAGUGGGGAAUUUUGGACAAUGGGCGCAAGCCUGAUCCAGCAAUGCCGCGUGCAGGAUGAAGGCCUUCGGGUUGUAAACUGCUUUUGUACGGAACGAAAAGCCCUGGGUUAAUACCCUGGGGUCAUGACGGUACCGUAAGAAUAAGCACCGGCUAACUACGUGCCAGCCGCCGCAGUAAGAC
rnacentral:rRNA from 1 species